rnacentral:rRNA from 1 species
GGGUUGUGAGGUUAAGCGACUAAGCGUACACGGUGGAUGCCCUGGCAGUCAGAGGCGAUGAAGGACGUGCUAAUCUGCGAUAAGCGUCGGUAAGGUGAUAUGAACCGUUAUAACCGGCGAUUUCCGAAUGGGGAAACCCAGUGUGUUUCGACACACUAUCAUUAACUGAAUCCAUAGGUUAAUGAGGCGAACCGGGGGAACUGAAACAUCUAAGUACCCCGAGGAAAAGAAAUCAACCGAGAUUCCCCCAGUAGCGGCGAGCGAACGGGGAGCAGCCCAGAGCCUGAAUCAGUGUGUGUGUUAGUGGAAGCGUCUGGAAAGGCGCGCGAUACAGGGUGACAGCCCCGUACACAAAAAUGCACAUGCUGUGAGCUCGAUGAGUAGGGCGGGACACGUGGUAUCCUGUCUGAAUAUGGGGGGACCAUCCUCCAAGGCUAAAUACUCCUGACUGACCGAUAGUGAACCAGUACCGUGAGGGAAAGGCGAAAAGAACCCCGGCGAGGGGAGUGAAAAAGAACCUGAAACCGUGUACGUACAAGCAGUGGGAGCACGCUUAGGCGUGUGACUGCGUACCUUUUGUAUAAUGGGUCAGCGACUUAUAUUCUGUAGCAAGGUUAACCGAAUAGGGGAGCCGAAGGGAAACCGAGUCUUAACUGGGCGUUAAGUUGCAGGGUAUAGACCCGAAACCCGGUGAUCUAGCCAUGGGCAGGUUGAAGGUUGGGUAACACUAACUGGAGGACCGAACCGACUAAUGUUGAAAAAUUAGCGGAUGACUUGUGGCUGGGGGUGAAAGGCCAAUCAAACCGGGAGAUAGCUGGUUCUCCCCGAAAGCUAUUUAGGUAGCGCCUCGUGAAUUCAUCUCCGGGGGUAGAGCACUGUUUCGGCAAGGGGGUCAUCCCGACUUACCAACCCGAUGCAAACUGCGAAUACCGGAGAAUGUUAUCACGGGAGACACACGGCGGGUGCUAACGUCCGUCGUGAAGAGGGAAACAACCCAGACCGCCAGCUAAGGUCCCAAAGUCAUGGUUAAGUGGGAAACGAUGUGGGAAGGCCCAGACAGCCAGGAUGUUGGCUUAGAAGCAGCCAUCAUUUAAAGAAAGCGUAAUAGCUCACUGGUCGAGUCGGCCUGCGCGGAAGAUGUAACGGGGCUAAACCAUGCACCGAAGCUGCGGCAGCGACGCUUAUGCGUUGUUGGGUAGGGGAGCGUUCUGUAAGCCUGCGAAGGUGUGCUGUGAGGCAUGCUGGAGGUAUCAGAAGUGCGAAUGCUGACAUAAGUAACGAUAAAGCGGGUGAAAAGCCCGCUCGCCGGAAGACCAAGGGUUCCUGUCCAACGUUAAUCGGGGCAGGGUGAGUCGACCCCUAAGGCGAGGCCGAAAGGCGUAGUCGAUGGGAAACAGGUUAAUAUUCCUGUACUUGGUGUUACUGCGAAGGGGGGACGGAGAAGGCUAUGUUGGCCGGGCGACGGUUGUCCCGGUUUAAGCGUGUAGGCUGGUUUUCCAGGCAAAUCCGGAAAAUCAAGGCUGAGGCGUGAUGACGAGGCACUACGGUGCUGAAGCAACAAAUGCCCUGCUUCCAGGAAAAGCCUCUAAGCAUCAGGUAACAUCAAAUCGUACCCCAAACCGACACAGGUGGUCAGGUAGAGAAUACCAAGGCGCUUGAGAGAACUCGGGUGAAGGAACUAGGCAAAAUGGUGCCGUAACUUCGGGAGAAGGCACGCUGAUAUGUAGGUGAAGCGACUUGCUCGUGGAGCUGAAAUCAGUCGAAGAUACCAGCUGGCUGCAACUGUUUAUUAAAAACACAGCACUGUGCAAACACGAAAGUGGACGUAUACGGUGUGACGCCUGCCCGGUGCCGGAAGGUUAAUUGAUGGGGUCAGCGCAAGCGAAGCUCUUGAUCGAAGCCCCGGUAAACGGCGGCCGUAACUAUAACGGUCCUAAGGUAGCGAAAUUCCUUGUCGGGUAAGUUCCGACCUGCACGAAUGGCGUAAUGAUGGCCAGGCUGUCUCCACCCGAGACUCAGUGAAAUUGAACUCGCUGUGAAGAUGCAGUGUACCCGCGGCAAGACGGAAAGACCCCGUGAACCUUUACUAUAGCUUGACACUGAACAUUGAGCCUUGAUGUGUAGGAUAGGUGGGAGGCUUUGAAGUGUGGACGCCAGUCUGCAUGGAGCCGACCUUGAAAUACCACCCUUUAAUGUUUGAUGUUCUAACGU